CAGCAGCCGCGGUAAUACGUAGGUGGCAAGCGUUGUCCGGAAUUAUUGGGCGUAAAGAGGUCCCAUGCGGUUUCUUAAGUCUGAGGUGAAAGCCCCCGGGUCAACCGGGGAGGGUCAUUGGAAACUGGGGAACUUGAGUUCACAAGAGGAGAGUGGAAUUCCACCUGUAGCGGUGAAAUGCGUAGAGAUGUGGAGGAACACCAGUGGCGAAGGCGACUCUCUGGUCUGUAACUGACGCUGAGGAGCGAAAGCGUGGGGAGCGAACAGGAUUAGAUACCCUGGUAGUCCACGCCGUAAACGAUGAGUGCUAAGUGUUAGGGGGUUUCCGCCCCUUAGUGCUGCAGCUAACGCAUUAAGCACUCCGCCUGGGGAGUACGGUCGCAAGACUGAAACUCAAA
rnacentral:rRNA from 1 species